rnacentral:tRNA from 1 species
GCCUUCGUAGUUCAAUGGAUAGAACAACCCCCUCCUAAGGGGUAGAUGUAGGUUCGAUUCCUUCCGAAGGUA